CGGCGAACGGGUGAGUAACACGUGGGUGAUCUGCCUCGCACUCUGGGAUAAGCCUGGGAAACUGGGUCUAAUACCGGAUAUGAGCAUGGUCUGCAUGGACUGUGUUGGAAAGGUUUACUGGUGCGAGAUGGGCCCGCGGCCUAUCAGCUUGUUGGUGGGGUAACGGCCUACCAAGGCGACGACGGGUAGCCGGCCUGAGAGGGCGACCGGCCACACUGGGACUGAGACACGGCCCAGACUCCUACGGGAGGCAGCAGUGGGGAAUAUUGCACAAUGGGCGAAAGCCUGAUGCAGCGACGCCGCGUGAGGGAUGACGGCCUUCGGGUUGUAAACCUCUUUCGACAGGGACGAAGCGCAAGUGACGGUACCUGUAGAAGAAGCACCGGCCAACUACGUGCCAGCAGCCGCGGUAAUACGUAGGGUGCGAGCGUUGUCCGGAAUUACUGGGCGUAAAGAGCUUGUAGGCGGUCUGUCGCGUCGAUUGUGAAAACUCACAGCUCAACUGUGAGCCUGCAGUCGAUACGGGCAGACUAGAGUACUUCAGGGGAGACUGGAAUUCCUGGUGUAGCGGUGAAAUGCGCAGAUAUCAGGAGGAACACCGGUGGCGAAGGCGGGUCUCUGGGAAGUAACUGACGCUGAGAAGCGAAAGCGUGGGUAGCGAACAGGAUUAGAUACCCUGGUAGUCCACGCCGUAAACGGUGGGUACUAGGUGUGGGUUUCCUUCCACGGGAUCCGUGCCGUAGCUAACGCAUUAAGUACCCCGCCUGGGGAGUACGGCCGCAAGGCUAAAACUCAAAGGAAUUGACGGGGGCCCGCACAAGCGGCGGAGCAUGUGGAUUAAUUCGAUGCAACGCGAAGAACCUUACCUGGGUUUGACAUACACCGGAAAGCCGUAGAGAUACGGCCCCCCUUGUGGUCGGUGUACAGGUGGUGCAUGGCUGUCGUCAGCUCGUGUCGUGAGAUGUUGGGUUAAGUCCCGCAACGAGCGCAACCCUUAUCUUAUGUUGCCAGCGCGUAAUGGCGGGGACUCGUGAGAGACUGCCGGGGUCAACUCGGAGGAAGGUGGGGACGACGUCAAGUCAUCAUGCCCCUUAUGUCCAGGGCUUCACACAUGCUACAAUGGCCGGUACAGAGGGCUGCGAUACCGUGAGGUGGAGCGAAUCCCUUAAAGCCGGUCUCAGUUCGGAUCGGGGUCUGCAACUCGACCCCGUGAAGUUGGAGUCGCUAGUAAUCGCAGAUCAGCAACGAACGGUGAAUACGUUCCCGGGCCUUGUACACACCGCCCGUCAAGUGAUGAAA
rnacentral:rRNA from 1 species